AGGGAACUCAGAGAUUUGUCUGCCUCCGGAGUGCUGGGAUUGCAAGUGUGUGAUUUCACUCCACUGCACCACUCGGGUAGGGGGCAAGUCAGCAGCAGCAAGGAUCAUGGACGUCCACAUGGUUUCUGGCUACAGCACGGGCCGCCGACAGACCAUGGACAUUCCCAAGGCCUUUGGUGGUAACAAGGACCAUGGGCAUCAACCCCAGGGGCAGCACAGCUCACUGUCACCAACAUGGCUUCAGGCAGCAGCUCAGAUCUCCACACCCACCUGGCCUUCAGUGGUUACUCUCGCAACUGGCAAUUUCUUAAAGAGACAAGUCUCUUAUGUAGUGAGAACUCAAACUGGGUGGCCUCAAAUCCACAGAAAACCACUUGCCUCUGACUCCCAAGUGUUGGGAUUAAAGGGCCAGAACAAACAAGGAACCAAGGAAGUGAUUGGGUCCUGUGGAUCGCGUUAUGGAACCUCUAAGGGCUGUACUUGUCCAGGCCAGCCUUCACAUCCUAUCUCACCUCACCGGACCCUUUUCCACCACGAGGGGGGAAUCUGUUUUCUUUGGGCAGUCUCUCCUCCAGCCUCUCCACAUGUGAUGUCCUGAGCAGAACAGAUGAACAGUGUGGAGUGGCCCUAGAAAGAAGUGAUGUGUUCUGAGAUGUGUGGACUAGGAUCCACGGGUGUCUCUAGGUGCAGGCCCCCCUCUGUAGAAGGCACCUGAUAGCUGGUGCUAAUCCUAUAUAAAUCUCUAUUGGCUUCCUGGAAAGAUGGCCUUUGGACAUAGCUCGGGCUCCUGGAAUUCAUUAUAGAGCACAAGCCAACACUGAAGUCAAAGCAAUCCCCCAGUUUUUGUCACCAAUCUUGCUUUAGAUGGGCUUUGUUGUUACCUGUUUGUUUGUUUCUGAGACAGGGUUUCUCUGUAGAGGAGGUUUCAAACUCAGAGAUCCUCCUGCCUUGGGAUUAAAGGUAUGUCUGGACUUAAGGUGAGUCCUCUGAUGGUGUGUCAAGUCCUCUUACCUGCUGAGUGGCUCUGGAGUCAUCUUUGCCUCAACACAUUGUCUCAAAGCUCAAUACUUCGAAGUCACUUUAAAAGUAGAUGGUUUGUAUCACUGAAUAAAUUCACCAGAU